rnacentral:rRNA from 1 species
GACGAACGCUGGCGGCGUGCUUAACACAUGCAAGUCGAACGGUGAAGCGCCUUCCUUUUUGGUGGGUGUGGAUGAGUGGCGAACGGGUGAGUAACACGUGAGUAACCUGCCCCCUUCUUCUGGAUAACCGCAUGAAAGUGUGGCUAAUACGGGAUAUUCUGGGUCUGUCGCAUGAUGGGUCUGGGAAAGAUAUUGUUUCGGUGGGGGAUGGGCUCGCGGCCUAUCAGCUUGUUGGUGGGGUGAUGGCCUACCAAGGCGGUGACGGGUAGCCGGCCUGAGAGGGUGGACGGUCACACUGGGACUGAGACACGGCCCCGACUCCUACGGGAGGCAGCAGUGGGGAAUAUUGCACAAUGGGCGCAAGCCUGAUGCAGCGACGCCGCGUGAGGGAUGGAGGCCUGCGGGUUGUGAACCUCUUUCGCCAGUGAAGCAGGCCUGCCUCGUUUGUGGGUGGGUUGACGGUAGCUGGAUAAGAAGCGCCGGCUAACUACGUG